CCUGUAGCUGUGAUGCUAACCCAGCAGCUAAGUACACCUGGAAGAUGUUAAUCAUGACCUUCAUCUGAUACAUACGUCUGCACUUUUGAACUUUAAUCGGAGGGAAACUCGUCUCACUGUGAAGUACAAACACCCUUCACUUUUAUCAUCAAACAUCUGAGACUCCUUCUCAUCAGAAAGUAUCUAAAACAAGAGGCCAAGUUGGAAGAAGACUUUAAUAAAAACGGGUCGUUGCUCUCUGAACCUCCCUCUAAUCUACCUAACAAGAAAUAAAACUAACCUACAGACAACAAGAGAGCUGAAAAUAAGACUGCUGGAUUUCAAUCAGGAGAGAUAAGUACAUGACUCAAAGCCUUAUUGUACUUCAUUAUGUGUUUUAUUCUGAUUUUAGGUUUGGCAUUGUAAACAUAUGUUUCCCACUUUACAAAACUCCUUAAUUUCUUAGUAUGAUGAUGUAUGUCUUACUAAAACAAACUAAUGUGCUGGUGGCGCAGUGGUUGGUGCGCAUGCCCCAUGUAUGGAGGCUAUGGUCCUCCAAGCGGGCAGCCCAGGUUCAAAUCCCACCUGUGGCUCCAUUCCCGCAUGUCAUACCCCACUCUCUCUCUUCCUGAUUUCCAACUCUUUCCACUGUCCUAUCUCUCCAAUUAAAGGCACAAAAAGCACAAAAAUAAAUCUUUAAAAAAAAAGUUUCCUUUUGUGAUCUUUUUAACUCAUGAACAUUCAAGACCCUUAAGUCCGGUUCUUCCCUCAGCUGUAGCCUUCACAUCAGGUCCAAUCUUUUAAACUUGUUUCCUUCCCAGUUCGUCCCAACAGGUUGUUCCAUGCAGGCUGAAUGUCUGGUUGUGGGUUAAAAAGCUUUGUUUCACAAUAAGGAGUAAGUUGAUUAAUGUAACUUUAAAACUGAUAUAUCACUCUAUUACUGACAAGGAUUACACAGGCCCAUAACUGUCCAAUGUUUCAAAACAAUCACAUUGAUAACCAGGAAUCUACCCUCAAGAUAAGACGACUUUGUGCACGUCAAAAUACCUGUCAUGUAGGGUCACAUGGUGCAUUCAUGUGGUGUCGGACACAUCGGAAAAACAAGUUUUCGAGUUGUAAAAUGCACAUGAACGCCUGCUCAAGUCGCAACAACAACUCGGAAACUCAGAAAAGAAUUAGGUGCCCGACUUUCCGACUUCCACGUCAGAAUCUCUAUGACAUGGGGCGCAAAAUAUAUCAUAUAUAUCAGCUCAAAUAUAACUCAUAACAGUAAAUGCCCAGGGACAACAGAUGGAAAUAAGCUAG